rnacentral:rRNA from 1 species
AUACGGAGGGUGCGAGCGUUGUUCGGAAUUAUUGGGCGUAAAGCGCGUGCAGGCGGUCUUUUAAGUCUGAUGUGAAAGCCCCGGGCUCAACCUGGGAAGUGCAUUGGAUACUGGCAGACUUGAAUACGGGAGAGGGCAGUGGAAUUCCUGGUGUAGGAGUGAAAUCCAUAGAUAUCAGGAGGAACACCGGUGGCGAAGGCGGCUGCCUGGACCGAUAUUGACGCUGAGACGCGAAAGCGUGGGUAGC